rnacentral:rRNA from 1 species
GACGAACGCUGGCGGCGUGCUUAACACAUGCAAGUCGAACGGAGUGGCGAACGGGUGAGUAACACGUGGGUGAUCUGCCUUGCACUUCGGGAUAAGCUUGGGAAACUGGGUCUAAUACCGGAUAGUGCAAGAUGAGCUCGCGGCCUAUCAGCUUGUUGGUGGGGUAAUGGCCUACCAAGGCGUCGACGGGUAGCCGGCCUGAGAGGGUGUACGGCCACAUUGGGACUGAGAUACGGCCCAGACUCCGACGGGAGGCAGCAGUGGGGAAUAUUGCACAAUGGGCGGAAGCCUGAUGCAGCGACGCCGCGUGGGGGAUGAAGGCCUUCGGGUUGUAAACUGCUUUUGUAUGGGGAUAGGUACCAUAUGAAUAAGGACCGGCUAAUUCCGUGCCAGCAGCCGCGGUAAUAC